rnacentral:lncRNA from 1 species
CUUCCAACAGUCUUUCAUGAAUGAGGCAGUAAGAAUGAAAAGACCUUUUAUAACUUCAUUUUGAACUCUGCCUGCAAACCAGAGGUCAGCAGGCCCUUCGAUCCCAGGGGCUGCACAGUGCCUGGAGGUGCUGGUGGUGCUGAUGGUUGGUGCUGUGGAACUUGAUGGGGGAGGGUCGAGGGAGAUAGAAGACAAAAGGAAGAGGAGGCAAAAGACAUAAAGAACUGGACUGCAAGAAGUGAAGAAGGAGAUAAACAAAAGAGAAGGACAGGAAGAACUGAUAACUAUGUUUGUGGUCAUUGUGGUUUUAAGUGCAAUAAAAUCCACCUGCAGAGUUUUGCUAUUGUUUCUAAACAACCUGAAGUAGGAAGGAGAACAAGUAUGUUCGUUUGCUGCUGAAAGGGGAAGUUGACCAGAUUUGCAUCAGAAUGGAGUGAAGAGAGCAUUUGGUAAUAGAAUUUGUUUGCUUUCUUACUAAGUGUGAAUUCCUAGACAGAAGGCAGAGAUGGGAUCUUACACAUUUUUAUAUUCACAACUCUAUUCAGAUACUCAAUGAAGUCUAUUCACUGAAUGUUCUUGGGCUGGUUCCUUUCUCUAAGUGAUUGUUUCCUC